CCCAUGAUUUUUUCUCUAAUCUCUUUGUCCUAAGUCCGGAUGGAUAUGGAAAAAGAGACGGGGUUUGGGCGGAAACACCCAUGCCUACCGAUUCCUAAGGAGUAUUUUCCUGGGAUGA
rnacentral:ncRNA from 2 species